rnacentral:rRNA from 1 species
GAUGAACGCUGGCGGCGUGCCUAAUACAUGCAAGUCGAGCGAACAGACGAGGAGCUUGCUCCUUUGACGUUAGCGGCGGACGGGUGAGUAACACGUGGGUAACCUACCUAUAAGACUGGGAUAACUUCGGGAAACCGGAGCUAAUACCGGAUAAUAUUUCGAACCGCAUGGUUCGAUAGUGAAAGAUGGCUUUGCUAUCACUUAUAGAUGGACCUGCGCCGUAUUAGCUAGUUGGUAAGGUAACGGCUUACCAAGGCAACGAUACGUAGCCGACCUGAGAGGGUGAUCGGCCACACUGGAACUGAGACACGGUCCAGACUCCUACGGGAGGCAGCAGUAGGGAAUCUUCCGCAAUGGGCGAAAGCCUGACGGAGCAACGCCGCGUGAGUGAUGAAGGUCUUCGGAUCGUAAAACUCUGUUAUUAGGGAAGAACAAACGUGUAAGUAACUGUGCACGUCUCGACGGUACCUAAUCAGAAAGCCACGGCUAACUACGUG